UCCGCCCUUUCACACUGUAGUUUUUCGUCUGCAAUAUCGGUCCCUUUAUCUUCGCCUCUUUGUCCGGUGAAUUUUAUAAUUCAGUAAGCUUGAAAUUUUCUCAGUCUACUGUUCAAACGAAGAGGGGAAAAAAAGGAGAUCUUUUUAUGAAUUGGCGCAGCAUCUGGGGGAGAAGAAGAGGAGCUCGAAAAAAAUAAGGAAAAGGGCAAAUCGAUUUUUGUUUAGUCUAUUCCAGCCUUUUGUGGCAAAUUGAGCCGUGGUGAGGUUUGCUAUUCCAGUGAAGAAGAACCGUAGACCGUUUUUGGCUUCUCUUCUUCUCAGAUCAUAAGCUCUCUGCUUCGUUUCGGUUGAUGGAUCUACUGCCUAUGGAAAAGAUUUGCUGAUGAACUUUGGUGGUUGGGACUUUAAUGCCUAGCAACGAAGUUAAAGACGUGUUCUGCAAUUUAUUUGAGCUGAAAGAUUUUUCCCGUGCUGCUGGACCUGUGACACGGGUUGCAGAUAUUUUUAGAGGGCAAAUCAUAGAUAAAGAUAUUGCAAAUGGUGGUUUCAAACUGAAGAACUUGAAUGCACAACAAGUAGGGGUUGUGUCCUCAAGAAACUUCUAUGCGAACCAUCCGGCGGUUCGAAAUGGUUUCCAGGUUGAACUACGGGAUUUCCAGGGAAUGCAAAAUCAACAGGGCUUAUUCUUGGAUAGCUUAGAUUUUAACCAAAACAAUAUAAUCUCAGGGGUGUCAUCUGGUUUUAAGUUUCAGCAAGAAAAUGACUCUGUGGGCAGUCCAACCUUGACAACAAAUUCAGAAAGGUCUGAGAUAACUGAAGCUUCAACCGAAUUUUGUCUACAAAGAAGGCAACAAAAUAAUUUUUCUGUCCAGCAACACCUAUUUCCACAGAAUAGCCCUAUGCAGCAAUCUGGUUUUGAUGAGAUGCAGUUGUUGCAACAGCAAGUGUUGCUCAAGCAAUUUCAGGUUCUUCAGAGGCAGCAACAACUUCAGCAGCAGAACCUUUUGAAUCCCUUUUCUCCGGCCCAUAGGCAAGCUAGUAUUGGGCAGUUUCCACCACUGGUUGAUGGAAUGCCUCUAGACUAUACCCCACAAGGAUAUAUGGACUGGCCACAGAGGAGUGCAUCCCCUGCUCCACAAGGAACGCUGAACAGAACCUUGUUUUCCAUGGGUCUUGGUUCUCAGCAGCUCGAUGCUUCUUUAUACGGUGCUCCAAUUGCUAAUGCAAGAGGCAAUGUUGGUCCACAGUCACCAAUGCAAGCCAUGUAUCAGGACUCCAGUAAUCUAGCAGCUAAGAGCACUGGUCAAAUGCAGAAACCUGUAACACAUUUGUCGGACUUUAGUAACCCAUUCCUGAAAGAUCAGUAUAAUUUUUCUCCCGCCCAGGUUUCGCUACAACCGGGAGCUUCUAUGUCGAAUUUCGGAUUUCAAGGGAAAGGUAUGCCAGUGGGCAGUCCUGUCCAUGGUUUGAACGAUGGGCUUUUAUCUGGCGAUCUCGUGUUGGGAAAUUCUCAGCAAAUCAGCAAACCUUCAAGUGCCAGCAGUGAGAGUCAGGGGCAAGUGAGCUGGUCCUCAGUUCAGCAAAAAGGUACAAAACCAUCUCAGGGUUUAGUUCCUCUUGACCCAUUAGAAGAGAAGAUCCUGUUUAAUAUGGAAGACAGUAGUAUAUCUGAGAUUGCAUCUGGAGUCUUUGGGGACAAAUAUGACAAUGUCAAUUUCACGAACUCAUUCUCUUCCAUUCAGAGCGGAAGUUGGAGUGCUCUAAUGCAGUCUGCUGUUGCAGAAGCUUCUAUCAGCGAUACUGGUGUUCAGGAGAAGUUUAGUGGUUUGACGCAUCAGAAUAUGGAACUAUUGGCUGAUAAUAGCAUGUCUAAAUUUAUAGAUAGUGAUAAGCAACAAACAGGUUGGAUGAAUGGUAGUUUGCCUGGGUCAGCACUCUUUGCCGUGGAACCUUUGGAGGUGGCUAAUUAUCCUGAUGUAAACUCUAGCUUCACUGGUUUUCAGCUGCUCUCAGAUCAGCAGAGAGUGAGUAGCGGUCAGGAUGGCGGUACUACUGAAUCCACUCAGAGAUCUCCAAAGGUAAUUGGGCGUUGGGUGGAUUGUAAUCCUCAACAUAAGCUAUCUGUGGGAGGAAAUCGACAGGUACGACCCAAUGUGCACUUUAAUGAUUCAUCUGAGGGUAAGAUGCACUCCAGUAAGAUUCUUGAUCAGGUGGAUUCUGGAAUAGGAAAUCUGGCAGCCAGUGCCGAUACUUCCUCUGCAAGUAUUGUUGGUGGAAUGCCAAACUCCUUUCAGUCGUUGACUUCUUCACUUGAUCUUUCUCAAGGUGGGAAAUGGGAAAAUUUAUCCUACCCUCUUGGAAGAACAAGUGUAUUUCCCGAUCUCAUACGACAGAAUGAUCCAGCUACAAUGUCUGCAUCUAGUGCUUUGAGUGGAAGAAGCGAGUCUCAGGUUCAAAUGGUCAAUCUACCUGACAAUGCAAGCCAAAUGUCUAUUCAAGCUGGCUUACCUCGUCAGGAUGUUGCUCGGCAAUUCAAUGUGUGGAUGGACUUACCGGCUCGCCAGGAUCCUCUAGAUGAGCAGGAAUCAUCCAAAGUUCCUUUGAAUACAUCAAAAUCAUCUUCUGUUUUGUUGGGGAAUAAUGUCUUAAGCUGGCAGAAAGCUCAUGGUCUGACUGAUACUUACAAUGUGUCACAAACAGUUGGUCUGCCUCAAGCUAAGGGACCUUCAGCUGAUCAUAUCUCUGUUUUAACUGCUUCCACCAAAGACUUUCUUCAUGUCAACACUGUUGGAGAUGCAAAAGUUAGCUCGAUGGUGGAAGCGGGGAAAAGUCAAAAUAUACAAAUUCCAUCGCAAAACCAACUUUCAGAUGUUUGCUCCAGUGGAAUGGUUGACCUAGUCCAGAAUCAAUCCAGUAGCAGUAUGGAACAUGGCCAUUUGUCUUCUGUGAAUGAUGCAGAUGUGCAUGCAGAACAAGAACAUGAUGCUCAGGACACAAUGAACCAAAGCAUGGAUAUCAUCAUAUCAAAGAAACGCAAACUUAUGGCGCCCCCAUGGCAUGAAGAAGCCACACAUGUGUCCAAGCGGCACCAAACAUUGAGUGACGCUGGACAAGAAUGGGCCCAAGUUACGAAUCGGUUGUUUGAGAAGGGAGAAUAUGAGAUUUGGAAAGUUGAAUCUAUCCAACGGUUGCCUCAAUCAAAGAGAAGGCUGGUACAGACUGUGCAGUUUAUGCAACAGCUUUUUUGCCCUGCACCUGCGUUCAUUCUCUUGUCAGAUGUAGCAUCAAGCUAUGCUAGUGUGUUAUACUUUGUUGCUAGAGCAACAUUAGGCGAUGCAUGCAGCAUUACCCACAAGGGACAAGAUGCUUUGCCAUCAUCUUCGAUUGAGGUUAAUGAGUUAUUCGAAAAGAUCAAAACAAAUGAGAGAAGAAGGGACAGGCAGUAUGCUGAAGUUGCUAGAGAGUUAACAGAGAAGAUAAAGAAGGUGGAAGGUGACUUGGAAAGACUGGAAAAAGCAGCUUCAAUGGCAGAAAUCAAGAUCGAAAUAGAGGACUUGGAAAGAUUUGCUGUCAUGAAUCGGUUUGCAAGGUUCCACAGCAGGGCACCACCGGCUGGCAACUCUGGGCCCACUAUGCCGAAGCCGAUACCUCGGAGAUACAUCACAGCAUCACUCUCUCAUAGAAACCUACCAGAGGGAGUUCAAUGCCUUUCGCUUUGAUUUUGUUCCGAGUCGGCUGAACCAGUCGCCUUUGCUUCAUGAUUGUGUUGGAAUUUGGAAAUCGGAAAUGAAGACCCUAUGAUGGGGCUCUCCCCCCAAAGAAAGCUAUGGGAACUGAUGUCUCCAGGUUGAAGUAGCACGCCAGUUAAUGUCAGUAUCGAACUCUGUCCGCUCCGACAUGUCAGGAUCCGGUCUCGUCUGAUUUUGUUGGAGGAAAGUGAUGCAAAGUCAGAUGUGGUGCCCAGCCGUUAAAACAUGCACUAUUAUCUAACAUACAUAAAUAUAUAUAUAUAUAUAUAUAUAUAUAUAUAUACACACAUGGUUUCAUCAUCCGUAUAAAAUCUGUCAUUUGAUUUUUUUGUCAUUGGCUUUUUUUUCAUUGAGAUGAGGGGGAAAAAUAACAGAAGAUUAAUUUCAAUAGAUGAUUAUGGUCUGAUUUUAAGAGUUUCAUUUUUGGUAAAUCAGUUGUAUUCGGAAAAUGUGAUUUAUAAAAAAA